rnacentral:lncRNA from 1 species
GAGACAGGUCAUCAUUAUGGUUGAAAUCCUCACCCAUCCUCAGAGAGACAGGUCAUCAUUAUGGUUGAAAUCCUCACCCAUCCUUAGAGACAGGUCAUCAUUAUGGUUGAAAUCCUCACCCAUCCCCAGAGAGACAGGUCAUUAUGGUUGAAAUCCUCACCCAUCCUCAGAGAGACAGGUCAUUAUGGUUGAAAUCCUCACCCAUCCUCAGAGAGAUAGGUCAUCAUUAUGGUUGAAAUCCUCACCCAUCCUCAGAGAGACAGGUCAUCAUUAUGGUUGAAAUCCUCAGAGAGACAGGUCAUCAUUGUAGAUGUGUUGUAAAAGGCCCUACAAUCACUUAUUUCAUGUACAAACAUUGAGAUCGGGUGAUGAUUGAGGACAUUUUUCAACUGAAAACAAAACCAGUCGGUUAUUAUUGGACAAGUCCAAGUCGUCUGUUCCUGUCGUCUUCCGUUUGAGACCUAAUGAAUACAAUCCUGUAUCAGCAGGGAGGUGAGUGAUCAAAACAACAGUAUGAGGCAGCCAUGGGUAAC